rnacentral:lncRNA from 10 species
UUUGAGAUCUGUGGAGGAUACCAUGAACUGGCUGGCUCUGCAUCCUGCUUGCAGGCGCUGGCAAGCUGGAACCUGCUUUUCUACGCCACACUGCAGAGGGCCCUGAAUGUGAUCUAUGAUUGCAACAAGCAGCCCUGAUGCGGAUCCGGAGGGCAGGGAUGACGUGGGGGCUGCCUUUCUGGUUGACCUGCUGGUUGUCUUGUGGUAGAGGAGAUUUUGCCUUGCAAUUUUACAUACUUAUGCUACGUGGAAGGCUGGGUGGCGUGACUUCAGAAAAAUGUUUCCUCAGGAAAGAGACACACAGAGAGAGAGAGAAAGAGAGAAAGAGAGAACCCACCUACCUGUUUUGCAAAAGUCUCAUGAAUCAUCCCUUCCUGUGGUCCUGCUCCCUGAGAUCCUUUCACCGCUCACAGUGGGCUACUUCUAAGAGCGUGCCUGGCACAGGGUCACUGAGAGCAUAGUCUUAAUAAAACAAUGAUGGAUGCUUGUCUCUCUCACUGGGUGCCAUGCACUUUGAUCAGAAGCUUUAAGAAUGUUUUCCUCCACUGUCUAGUCACAG